rnacentral:rRNA from 1 species
GAUGAACGCUGGCGGCGUGCCUAAUACAUGCAAGUCGAGCGGACUGAUUAGAAGCUUGCUUCUAUGACGUUAGCGGCGGACGGGUGAGUAACACGUGGGCAACCUGCCUGUAAGACUGGGAUAACUUCGGGAAACCGAAGCUAAUACCGGAUAGGAUCUUCUCCUUCAUAGGAGAUGAUUGAAAGAUGGUUUCGGCUAUCACUUACAGAUGGGCCCGCGGUGCAUUAGCUAGUUGGUGAGGUAACGGCUCACCAAGGCAACGAUGCAUAGCCGACCUGAGAGGGUGAUCGGCCACACUGGGACUGAGACACGGCCCAGACUCCUACGGGAGGCAGCAGUAGGGAAUCUUCCGCAAUGGACGAAAGUCUGACGGAGCAACGCCGCGUGAGUGAUGAAGGCUUUCGGGUCGUAAAACUCUGUUGUUAGGGAAGAACAAGUACAAGAGUAACUGCUUGUACCUUGACGGUACCUAACCAGAAAGCCACGGCUAACUACGUGCCAGCCGCCGCAGUAAGAC